rnacentral:tRNA from 1 species
GCCUGAUUAGCAUAGUGGCUAAUGCGUUGCACUUGUAUCAACCUCAUCAACGAUAUGCAAAGAUCACUGGUUCGAUUCCAGUAUCAGGCA